rnacentral:rRNA from 1 species
CGCACUGCGCAUGGCUCAUUAUAUCAGUUAUCGUUUAUUUGAUAGUACCUUACUACUUGGAUAACCGUGGUAAUUCUAGAGCUAAUACAUGCUGAAAACCCCGACUUCCGGAGGGGUGUAUUUAUUAGAUUAAAAACCCAUGCCCUUCCGGGCUCCCUGGUGAUUCAUAAUAACUUCUCCAAUCCCACGGCCUUGCCCCCGCCAUGGUUCAUUCCAAUUUCUGCCCUAUCAACUUUCGACGGGUGGGUCUUGGCCCAACAUGGUUACCACCGGUAACCGGGAAU